rnacentral:rRNA from 1 species
UACGUAGGGAGCAAGCGUUGUUCGGAUUUACUGGGCGUAAAGGGCGCGUAGGCGGCCAGCACAAGUCAGUUGUGAAAAUCUCCGAGCUUAACUCGGAAAGGUCAACUGAUACUGUGCGGCUAGAGUGCGGAAGGGGCAACUGGAAUUCUUGGUGUAGCGGUGAAAUGCGUAGAUAUCAAGAGGAACACCUGCGGCGAAGGCGGGUUGCUGGACGAUGACUGACGCUGAGACGCGAAAGCGUGGGGAGCAAACAGG